rnacentral:rRNA from 1 species
GUAGGUGGCAAGCGUUGUCCGGAAUUAUUGGGCGUAAAGCGCGCGCAGGCGGUUCUUUAAGUCUGAUGUGAAAGCCCACGGCUCAACCGUGGAGGGUCAUUGGAAACCGGAGAACUUGAGUACAGAAGAGGAAAGCGGAAUUCCACGUGUAGCGGUGAAAUGCGUAGAGACGUGGAGGAACACCAGUGGCGAAGGCGGCUUUCUGGUCUGUAACUGACGCUGAGGCGCGAAAGCGUGGGGAGCAAACAGGAUUAGAUACCCUGGUAGUCCACGCCGUAAACGAUGAGUGCUAAGUGUUAGGGGGUUUCCCGCCCCCUUAGUGCUGCAGCUAACGCAUUAAGCACUCCGCCUGGGGAGUACGGCCGCAAGGCUG